GUAGGGUGCAAGCGUUGUCCGGAAUUAUUGGGCGUAAAGAGCUCGUAGGCGGUUUGUCGCGUCUGCUGUGAAAACUCAGGGCUUAACCCUGAGCCUGCAGUGGGUACGGGCAGACUAGAGUGUGGUAGGGGAGAUCGGAAUUCCUGGUGUAGCGGUGGAAUGCGCAGAUAUCAGGAGGAACACCGGUGGCGAAGGCGGAUCUCUGGGCCAUAACUGACGCUGAGGAGCGAAAGCAUGGGGAGCGAACAGGAUUAGAUACCCUGGUAGUCCAUGCCGUAAACGUUGGGCGCUAGGUGUGGGGCUCAUUCCACGAGUUCCGUGCCGCAGCUAACGCAUUAAGCGCCCCGCCUGGGGAGUACGGCCGCAAGGCUA
rnacentral:rRNA from 1 species